rnacentral:rRNA from 1 species
UACAGAGGGUGCGAGCGUUAAUCGGAAUUACUGGGCGUAAAGCGCACGUAGGCGGCUAUUCAAGUCAGAGGUGAAAGCCCGGGGCUCAACCCCGGAACUGCCUUUGAAACUAGAUAGCUAGAAUCUUGGAGAGGUCAGUGGAAUUCCGAGUGUAGAGGUGAAAUUCGUAGAUAUUCGGAAGAACACCAGUGGCGAAGGCGACUGACUGGACAAGUAUUGACGCUGAGGUGCGAAAGCGUGGGGAGCAAACAGG